rnacentral:rRNA from 1 species
UACGUAGGCAGCGAGCGUUGUUCGGAUUUACUGGGCGUAAAGGGCGCGUAGGCGGCCACGACAAGUCACUUGUGAAAUCUCCGGGCUUAACUCGGAACGGUCAAGUGAUACUGUCGGGCUAGAGUGCAGAAGGGGCAACUGGAAUUCUCGGUGUAGCGGUGAAAUGCGUAGAUAUCGAGAGGAACACCUGCGGCGAAGGCGGGUUGCUGGGCUGACACUGACGCUGAGAGACGAAAGCUAGGGGAGCAAAUGGG